rnacentral:rRNA from 1 species
GAGCGCCUACGGGGGGCAGCAGUCGGGAAUAUUGCGCAAUGGAGGAAACUCUGACGCAGUGACGCCGCGUAUAGGACGAAGGUCUUCGGAUUGUAAACUAUUGUCGUUAGGGAAGAGAAAGGACAGUACCUAAGGAGGAAGCUCCGGCUAACUAUGUGCCAGCAGCCGCGGUAAUACAUAGGGGGCAAGCGUUAUCCGGAAUUAUUGGGUGUAAAGGGUGCGUAGACGGAAGAACAAGUUGGUUGUGAAAUCCCUCGGCUCAACUGAGGAACUGCAACCAAAACUAUUCUCCUUGAGUGUCGGAG